rnacentral:rRNA from 1 species
UACAGAGGUCUCAAGCGUUGUUCGGAUUCAUUGGGCGUAAAGGGUGCGUAGGCGGCGCGGUAAGUCGGGUGUGAUAUCUUGGAGCUUAACUCCGAAACUGCAUUCGAUACUGCCGUGCUUGAGGACUGGAGAGGAGACUGGAAUUUACGGUGUAGCGGUGAAAUGCGUAGAUAUCGUAAGGAAGACCAGUGGCGAAGGCGGGUCUCUGGACAGUUCCUGACGCUGAGGCACGAAGGCCAGGGGAGCAAACGGG